rnacentral:rRNA from 1 species
GAACUCGCAAAUUGACACCGUAACUUCGGGAGAAGGUGUGCCGCUGGCGGUUAGUGACUUCGCGUCACGAAGCUGUUGGUGGUCGCAGUGAAAUGGCGGUUGUGACUGUUUACUAAAAACACAGGACUCUGCGAAGUCGUAAGACGACGUAUAGGGUCUGAUGCCUGCCCGGUGCUGGAAGGUUAAGGGGAUAUGUCAGCGCAAGCGAAGCAUUGAACCGAAGCCCCAGUAAACGGCGGCCGUAACAAUAACGGUCCUAAGGCAGCGAAAUUCCUUGUCGGGUAAGUUCCGACCUGCACGAGGGCAUAACAACAUCCGCACUGUCUCGACCAGGGACUCAGCGAAAUUACAUUGGGGGUGAAGAUGCCCUCUACCCGCGGAAAGACGGAAAGACCCCAUGAACCUUUACUGCAACUUGGCAGUGAUUUUCGGGUUGUUCUGCGUAGGAUAGGUGGGAGGCUUUGAAGCCGGGCUUCCGGGUUCGGCAGAGCCAACGUUGAAAUACCACCCUGAAUAAUCUGGAAAUCUAACCUGCGCCCAUGAUCUGGGCGAGGGACACUGCCUGGUGGGCAGUUUGACUGGGGCGGUCGCCUCCUAAAUUGUAACGGAGGCGUGCGACGGUUCCCUCAGGCUGAUUGGAAACCAGCCGUAGAGUGCAAACGCAUAAGGGAGCUUUACUGCGAGACUGACAAGUCGACCAGUUGCGAAAGCAGGUGUUAGUGAUCCGGUGGUACCACAUGGAAGGGCCAUCGCUCAUCGGAUAAAAGGUACUCUGGGGAUAACAGGCUGAUCGCGCCUGAGAGUUCACAUCGGCGGCGCGGUUUGGCACCUCGAUGUCGGCUCAUCGCAUCCUGGGGCUGGAGCAGGUCCCAAGGGUUUGGCUGUUCGCCAAUUAAAGCGGUACGCGAGCUGGGUUUAAAACGUCGUGAGACAGUUUGGUCCCUAUCUUCCGUGGGCGCAGGACACUUGAGAGGAGCUAUCCAUAGUACGAGAGGACCUGGAUGGACGAACCUCUGGUGCUCCGGUUGUCACGCCAGUGGCAUAGCCGGGUAGCCAUGUUCGGAACAGAUAACCGCUGAAGGCAUAUAAGCGGGAAGCUGGCCUCAAGACUAGGUGUCCCUGACGCAAGUCACUAAAGGCCCCUCGAAGACUACGAGGUUGAUAGGCUCGGUGUGGAAGCGCUGCGAGGCGCGGAGCUAACGAGUACUAAUAGGCCGUGAGGCUUGACCUC